rnacentral:lncRNA from 1 species
AACCCUACUCACCUCAGUCACAUUUCAGUUUAAUAUGAGAGGUUGCCCCCCCCCCCCCUUACUAACCCUACUCCACCUCAGGCACAUUUCAGUUUAAUAUGAGAGGUUGCCCCCCCCCCCCCCUUACUAACCUACUCCACCUCAGUCACAUUUCAGUUUAAAUGAGAGGUUGGUCCCCCCCCUUACUAACCCUACUCCACCUCAGUCACAUUUCAGUUUAAUAUGAGAGGUUGGUGGCUCCCUUUUGUCCAUACAUAAUAUCUUUCCCUUCUAACUCUAUUCACAUUCAUUCAAUUGCUAUCAUUUCAUGUGUAAUUUAUUGUACCUUUGACCUGGAAAAUUAUUA